UACGGGAGGCAGCAGUGGGGAAUAUUGCACAAUGGGCGCAAGCCUGAUGCAGCCAUGCCGCGUGUAUGAAGAAGGCCUUCGGGUUGUAAAGUACUUUCAGUCGUGAGGAAGGUGUUAAGGUUAAUAACCUUAGCAAUUGACGUUAGCGACAGAAGAAGCACCGGCUAACUCCGUGCCAGCAGCCGCGGUAAUACGGAGGGUGCGAGCGUUAAUCGGAAUUACUGGGCGUAAAGGGCACGCAGGCGGUUAAUUAAGUUGGAUGUGAAUCCCCGGGCUUAACCUGGGAAUGGCAUUCAAGACUGGUUAGCUAGAGUCUUGUAGAGGGGGUAGAAUUCCAUGUGUAGCGGUGAAAUGCGUAGAGAUGUGGAGGAAUACCGGUGGCGAAGGCGGCCCCUGGACAAAGACUGACGCUCAUGUGCGAAAGCGUGGGGAGCGAAACAGGGAUUAGAUAC
rnacentral:rRNA from 1 species